CCAACACUGGGACUGAGAACUGCCCAGACUCCUACGGGAGGCUGCAGUCGAGAAUCAUUCGCAAUGGGCGAAAGCCUGACGAUGCGACGCCGUGUGAGCGAUGAAGGCCUUUGGGUCGUAAAGCUCUUUCGCUUGGGAACAAGAGAGGAUGACUAAUACUCAUCUAAUUUGAGGGUACCAGGUAAAGA
rnacentral:rRNA from 1 species